rnacentral:rRNA from 1 species
AACGUAGGAGGCAAGCGUUAUCCGGAGUUACUGGGCGUAAAGCGUGCGUAGGCGGGCUUGUAAGUGGGUGGUGAAAGCGCCCGGCUAAACCGGGCGAUGUCCAUUCAGACUGCAGGUCUAGAGGCGGAUAGAGGGGUGCGGAAUUCCGGGUGUAGCGGUGAAAUGUGUAGAGAUCCGGAGGAACACCAGUGGUGCAAACGGCGCCCUGGGUCCGUACUGACGCUGAAGCACGAAAGCGUGGGGAGCGAACGGG